UGGUCCAGACUUUGAUUCUGGCUCAGGAUGAACGCUAGCUACAGGCUUAACACAUGCAAGUCGAGGGGAAACGACAUUGAAAGCUUGCUUUUGAUGGGCGUCGACCGGCGCACGGGUGAGUAACGCGUAUCCAACCUGCCCACCACUUGGGGAUAACCUUGCGAAAGUAAGACUAAUACCCAAUGACGUCUCUAGAAGACAUCUGAAAGAGAUUAAAGAUUUAUCGGUGAUGGAUGGGGAUGCGUCUGAUUAGCUUGUUGGCGGGGUAACGGCCCACCAAGGCUACGAUCAGUAGGGGUUCUGAGAGGAAGGUCCCCCACAUUGGAACUGAGACACGGUCCAAACUCCUACGGGAGGCAGCAGUGAGGAAUAUUGGUCAAUGGACGAGAGUCUGAACCAGCCAAGUAGCGUGCAGGAUGACGGCCCUAUGGGUUGUAAACUGCUUUUAUAAGGGAAUAAAGUGAGUCUCGUGAGACUUUUUGCAUGUACCUUAUGAAUAAGGACCGGCUAAUUCCGUGCCAGCAGCCGCGGUAAUACGGAAGGUCCGGGCGUUAUCCGGAUUUAUUGGGUUUAAAGGGAGCGUAGGCCGGAGAUUAAGCGUGUUGUGAAAUGUAGAUGCUCAACAUCUGCACUGCAGCGCGAACUGGUUUCCUUGAGUACGCACAAAGUGGGCGGAAUUCGUGGUGUAGCGGUGAAAUGCUUAGAUAUCACGAAGAACUCCGAUUGCGAAGGCAGCUCACUGGAGCGCAACUGACGCUGAAGCUCGAAAGUGCGGGUAUCGAACAGGAUUAGAUACCCUGGUAGUCCGCACGGUAAACGAUGGAUGCCCGCUGUUGGUCUGAGUAGGUCAGCGGCCAAGCGAAAGCAUUAAGCAUCCCACCUGGGGAGUACGCCGGCAACGGUGCAACUCAAAGGAAUUGACGGA
rnacentral:rRNA from 1 species